GAUCUUAUUAUCUUAGAGGCGGGUUCUGGGUUAGAAUAUGCAGAUUGAUUCCACCUAGCUCUAGUGCCUACUUAAGCCUCAAGUGGGUUGGCUCAAAGUUAGGGGCAAUCAGAUAAUUCAUUGCCACCCCUCUGCUGGAAGAUCUGGGAUAGCAUGUCCUUUGGAAGCUUUGAGAGGAGCUCUUUGGCUCAGCUCCUCUGGCUCCUGGUGUUUUUCAUCCAAGAUUCCAGGGGACAGUUUAUAGUGACUCAAACUCCAGAGUCUAUGACAGUGUCACCAGGAGACCAUGUCACUAUUCAAUGCAGAACCAACUUUGGAGUGGGCACUUCCAUAGCCUGGUACCAGCAGAAGCCUAGACAAGCACCAAAGCUCCUUAUCUUCGGCACUUCUGCAUUGGCUUCUGGGGCUUCAACUCGAUUCCAAGGAAGUGGCUCCAGACUGUACUUCUUCUUGACCAUCGGAGGAGUAGCAGCUGAAGAUGCUGGAGUUUAUUACUGUCAGCAGCACUACAGCCGCCCUCUCACAGUGAUACAGACCCAAACAGGAACCUCUUUGUCAGCUCAGACCUUUUGCUCUUAGGGCAUGACACCUGUUUUUUUUCUAUGUCCUACAGGGGGAGGAAGUAGAAUACCCACACUUCGGAUACUAUAUCACUGGUUUAUUUUCAUUUUUGUGAAAUUUAAGGUCACAUAGAAAAUUCUUCUUGAAUUAUUCAGGAACCAGGGAAAUUUUCCUAGUCAAUUUUCCUAGUCACUUCCCAAUAAUUCAAAAGAAUUUGAUGAAGACCUAUUGAUUAUGGCAGGGGGCUUUUUAAGGAACAAAGAAAUAUAAGAAAUGGUUUCUGAUAUUGUUACCACUCAAUUUGGAAGGAUAACACUGAACAUCCCAGUCAGUUUAUAAUUAUGUCCCAGCCUAUCCAAAUCAAGCUGAUUAAAAGUCAAAUGAGCUAGGGAUUAUUUGCUUAAAUAAGAAGAAACAGGCUCAGAUGCCUCUGAAUAUUGAUUGCAAAAGAAAAAUGUACUUUUAGCAGAAUAAGAGGAUUUCCAAGCAUUCCUGAUGAAAACACAAUAACUGUAGAGAAACCUUACAAUGCAGAUACAAGAAUUAAGAAAAACAUAAAGAGGUAAACAUGACUAUACACUAUCACUUGCUGGACUGAGGACAGAAAAUUUUACUUGUUCAGUUUGUGCAAUUUACAAGAAUUUCAUGAGAUCAAAACCCUGUG